rnacentral:rRNA from 1 species
AGCGAACGCUGGCGGCAGGCUUAACACAUGCGAGUCGAGCGGGCCCUUCGGGGUCAGCGGCGGACGGGUGAGUAACGCGUGGGAACGUGCCUUCUGGUCUGGAAUAACCCUGGGAAACUAGGGCUAAUACCGGAUACGCCCUUUUGGGGAAAGGUUUACUGCCGGAAGAUCGGCCCGCGUCUGAUUAGCUAGUUGGUGGGGUAACGGCCUACCAAGGCGACGAUCAGUAGCUGGUCUGAGAGGAUGAUCAGCCACACUGGGACUGAGACACGGCCCAGACUCCUACGGGAGGUAGCAGUGGGGAAUAUUGGACAAUGGGCGCAAGCCUGAUCCAGCCAUGCCGCGUGAGUGAUGAAGGCCUUAGGGUUGUAAAGCUCUUUUAUCCGGGACGAUAAUGACGGUACCGGAGGAAUAAGCCCCGGCUAACUUCGUG